AAAUUGAAGAGUUUGAUCAUGGCUCAGAUUGAACGCUGGCGGCAGGCCUAACACAUGCAAGUCGAACGGUAACAGGAAGCAGCUUGCUGCUUCGCUGACGAGUGGCGGACGGGUGAGUAAUGUCUGGGAAACUGCCUGAUGGAGGGGGAUAACUACUGGAAACGGUGGCUAAUACCGCAUAACGUCGCAAGACCAAAGAGGGGGACCUUCGGGCCUCUUGCCAUCAGAUGUGCCCAGAUGGGAUUAGCUUGUUGGUGAGGUAACGGCUCACCAAGGCGACGAUCCCUAGCUGGUCUGAGAGGAUGACCAGCCACACUGGAACUGAGACACGGUCCAGACUCCUACGGGAGGCAGCAGUGGGGAAUAUUGCACAAUGGGCGCAAGCCUGAUGCAGCCAUGCCGCGUGUAUGAAGAAGGCCUUCGGGUUGUAAAGUACUUUCAGCGGGGAGGAAGGUGUUGCGGUUAAUAACCGCAGCAAUUGACGUUACCCGCAGAAGAAGCACCGGCUAACUCCGUGCCAGCAGCCGCGGUAAUACGGAGGGUGCAAGCGUUAAUCGGAAUUACUGGGCGUAA
rnacentral:rRNA from 2 species